rnacentral:rRNA from 1 species
CCUACGGGAGGCAGCAGUAGGGAAUAUUGCUCAAUGGGGGAAACCCUGAAGCAGCAACGCAGCGUGGAGGAUGAAGGUUUUCGGAUUGUUAACUCCUUUUGUUAGAGAAGAUAAUGACGGUAUCUAACGAAUAAGCACCGGCUAACUCCGUGCCAGCAGCCGCGGUAAUACGGAGGGUGCAAGCGUUACUCGGAAUCACUGGGCGUAAAGAGCGCGUAGGCGGGAUAGCAAGUCAGAUGUGAAAUCCUAUGGCUUAACCAUAGAACUGCAGUGGAAACUGUUAUUCUAGAGUAUGGGAGAGGUAUGUGGAAUUCGUGGUGUAGGGGUAAAAUCCGUAGAUAUCAAGAGGAAUACUCAUUGCGAAGGCGACCUGCUAGAACAUAACUGACGCUGAUGCGCGAAGGCGUGGGGAGCGAACAGGAUUAGAUACCCCAGUAGUC